rnacentral:tRNA from 1 species
GGGGAAAUAGCUCAGUGAUAGAGCACAUGCUUAGCGUGCAUGAGGUCCUGGGUUCAAUCCCUGGUACCUCCA